AGUGUAGCGGUGAAAUGCGUAGAGAUUUGGAGGAACACCAGUGGCGAAUGCUACUUUCCGGUGAGUAACUGACGCUGAGGCGCGAAAGCGUGGGGAGCAAACAUGAUUAGAUACCCUGGUCGUCCACGCUGUAAACGAUGAGUGCUAAGUGUUACGACGUUUCCGCCCUUUAGUGCUGAAUUUAACGCACUACGCGCUCCGCCUGGGGAGUACUGUCGCAAAACUGAAACUCAGAGGAAUUGACCGGGGCCCGCACAAGUGG
rnacentral:rRNA from 1 species